UGAUGUUAGCGGCGGACGGGUGAGUUAACACGUGGAUAACCUACCUAUAAGACUGGGAUAACUUCGGGGAAACCGGAGCUAAUACCGGAUAAUAUUUUGAACCGCAUGGUUCAAAAGUGAAAGACGGUCUUGCUGUCACUUAUAGAUGGAUCCGCGCUGCAUUAGCUAGUUGGUAAGGUAACGGCUUACCAAGGCAACGAUGCAUAGCCGACCUGAGAGGGUGAUCGGCCACACUGGAACUGAGACACGGUCCAGACUCCUACGGGAGGCAGCAGUAGGGAAUCUUCCGCAAUGGGCGAAAGCCUGACGGAGCAACGCCGCGUGAGUGAUGAAGGUCUUCGGAUCGUAAAACUCUGUUAUUAGGGAAGAACAUAUGUGUAAGUAACUGUGCACAUCUUGACGGUACCUAAUCAGAAAGCCACGGCUAACUACGUGCCAGCAGCCGCGGUAAUACGUAGGUGGCAAGCGUUAUCCGGAAUUAUUGGGCGUAAAGCGCGCGUAGGCGGUUUUUUAGGUCUGAUGUGAAAGCCCACGGCUCAACCGUGGAGGGUCAUUGGAAACUGGAAAACUUGAGUGCAGAAGAGGAAAGUGGAAUUCCAUGUGUAGCGGUGAAAUGCGCAGAGAUAUGGAGGAACACCAGUGGCGAAGGCGACUUUCUGGUCUGUAACUGACGCUGAUGUGCGAAAGCGUGGGGAUCAAACAGGAUUAGAUACCCUGGUAGUCCACGCCGUAAACGAUGAGUGCUAAGUGUUAGGGGGUUUCCGCCCCUUAGUGCUGCAGCUAACGCAUUAAGCACUCCGCCUGGGGAGUACGACCGCAAGGUUG
rnacentral:rRNA from 1 species